rnacentral:rRNA from 1 species
AAAAACAUGUCUUUUUGUUUUUGAUUUAAGGUCUGACCUGCCCAAUGAUUAUUAUUUAAUGGCUGCAGUAUUUUAACUGUACAAAGGUAGCAUAAUCAUUAGUUUCUUAAUUAGAAGCUGGAAUGAAUGGUUUGAUGAAAAAUUUACUGUCUCAAUUUGAUUGUUUUAGAAUUUUAUUUUUAAGUGAAAAAGCUUAGAUUUUUUAAGAAGACGAGAAGACCCUAUAGAGUUUUACAUAUUUAAAGUUAUUUUUUUUAUGAUUUUAUUUGAUUUAAUUUUUUAAUGUGUUUUGUUGGGGUGAUGAGAAAAUUUUUUUAACUUUUCUUUAUUUAUACACUAAUUAGUGAUUUAAUGAUCCUUUUAAGAUUAUAAGAUUAAAUUACCUUAGGGAUAACAGCGUAAUUUUUUUUGAAAGUUCUUAUUGAUAAAAAAGUUUGCGACCUCGAUGUUGGAUUAAAGUUUAUUUACGGUGCAGAAGCUGUUUAAUUAGGUCUGUUCGACC